UACGUAGGGACCAAGCGUUAUCCGGAGUUACUGGGCGUAAAGGGCGUGCAGGCGGCAGUCUAAGUCUGGCGUGAAAUAUCCCGGCUUAACCGGGGAAGGUCGUCGGAUACUGGGCAGCUAGAGGGCGGUAGAGGCGUGUGGAAUUCCGGGUGUAGUGGUGAAAUGCGUAGAGAUCCGGAGGAACACCAGUGGCGAAGGCGACACGCUGGGCCGCACCUGACGCUAAGACGCGACAGCAUGGGGAGCAAACAGG
rnacentral:rRNA from 1 species